GGCCAGUCCUGGUCAGCCCUUCCUAUGCCUCGAGGAAGGUGUUCUAAUGCGGGAAGAUGGUGGCCCCCACGGCCCUCUGGGAAGGCCACCCCCGUGCUCGGAACCAGCCCGUGUCCUGGGAGCUGGGAGCCACUGCUUGGCCUUCCAGCCUGGGCUUCUGGCCUACAGGCUCCCCUGCGAAACGGGGUCACUGGGUGUGGAGGAAGCCAGGGCACUGUGCCCCCCCAGCCUCAAAUCCGGGGGAGUCACAGCUCCCUGCUCAGGGCCCAGGGGGUGGCCCAGUGACUACAGAGCUAAGGUGCCAUGCAAAUGCAAGGCGCUUGGAAGGUUGCAUCUGACAGGACCCAGGCCCCUCACGACGUGUUACAGCUCAAAGCCUCCCGGCUACGGUGUGCAGCUGCCAUGGUCGCUCAGGAGCCAGGCCCCUCAGUGUGGGGAUGACAGGCUGGGCCCUACCCGGACACCCAGAGCACAGAGGACCUGGAGGCCUCAGGAGAGGGAAGUCAGGGGCAAGUCUCACCCUGUGUCCCAGCAGAGCCAGACAAGCUCAGAGGCAGGAGGCCACAAGAUGACCCAAGUCCCUGCACCCCUGCUCCAGGCGGGGCGGGAAGGGGUCUGUGGGGACACACUCACCCCAUGGGAAUCAGGCAAUCUCUGGCCUUCUCCUUCUCCACCAAGCGUGAAGUGAUAUUCCCAGGGUUCCCUCUGUCGGCCAGGGACAUGGACUCCACCCUGAGGAGGCGGCAGAGCAUGUGGUCACUCUCGAGACCCGCCCAGGGUUACCUGUGCAUCUGGCGAGCGCUGGGAAAUGGCUGGGAGCCCUGGGAAAGCCAGCGGGCUGCUUGGGAACCCUGGGCAGGGCCAGCAGGGCAGAGCUGGGGGUGCAGGGCUGCUCUGUCCACCCUGCCCCCACCCCAGCACAGAGCACUGCACCGUCCACACUCCCUGGCAAGGCUGAACAUCCCCACCACCGCCCUCCUGCCGCCAGCCAAUCAGCAGCUCGCACGGAGAGCCGCCCAGUGCUGGCCGCAGGAGGGGCAACGCCCCCCAGAAGCCCAGGCCCCAGAGGCUGCCACGGCAGAAGAGACAAAUAUUUGAAAAGCCGCAGGUCAAAGAGCAUGCGACGCACAACCAUGGGGGUGAUGACUGCUCGGGGAGCUGUUGGAGCACGUUGACAGCAUCGGUCCCGUGCCAUGUCCCAGAGCGUCAGCUGCUGUUACUACUCCAUUAAAUCUUGUCAACUUCAACAGGACUGCGGCAAUUACCGCAUUUUAGAGAUGAGGACACUUGAGGCCCAGAGAGAACCACAGAAGGAAGCUGAAGUUCUAGACUUUCUCAAAGUACGUGCAUUUUCCAGCCUGACAGGUUUCCAAGAAAGCAAGCUCUCAGAAGCCAACUCCCUUUCCCCCCUGGUGCUGAGAGCUGAGCAGGAUUCCUGGGUGCCCAGAGCCUGGGGCCACUUCUAAGCUGAUUUGUGGGAACCUACCUCCCCCCGCCUUGAGCUGCCUCCGAGGGCUAGAGGGGGACCCUGCAAGCACGGCCUCUGAGAACGAAGGAGAUGCAAAUGAGCUUUACUGGUAGAGGUUGGGCAGAACUGCUCUGGCAGAAAGGAAUUCUUACCCACAAGCCAUGCCAAUGUCAUAAGACCCAUUUCUGAUGCCACCUGCAACAAAAGCAUUU